rnacentral:rRNA from 1 species
UAGGGAAUCUUCCGCAAUGGGCGAAAGCCUGACGGAGCAACGCCGCGUGAGUGAUGAAGGUCUUCGGAUCGUAAAACUCUGUUAUUAGGGAAGAACAAAUGUGUAAGUAACUAUGCACGUCUUGACGGUACCUAAUCAGAAAGCCACGGCUAACUACGUGCCAGCAGCCGCGGUAAUACGUAGGUGGCAAGCGUUAUCCGGAAUUAUUGGGCGUAAAGCGCGCGUAGGCGGUUUUUUAAGUCUGAUGUGAAAGCACACGGCUCAACCGUGGAGGGUCAUUGGAAACUGGAAAACUUGAGUGCAGAAGAGGAAAGUGGAAUUCCAUGUGUAGCGGUGAAAUGCGCAGAGAUAUGGAGGAACACCAGUGGCGAAGGCGACUUUCUGGUCUGUAACUGACGCUGAUGUGCGAAAGCGUGGGGAUCAAACAGG